AAGUCGUAACAAGGUUUCCGUAGGUGAACCUGCGGAAGGAUCAUUAUUGAAUGAACUUGGUAUGAUUGUUGCUGAUCCUUCUGGGAUAUGUGCACAUCUGCCAUCUUUAUCUCUCCACCUGUGCACACUUUGUAGGUCUAGAAUAACUCUCUGAGGCAACUCAGAUGUGAGAACUGCUACUGCGAGGUAGCUGUUCUUGUGUUUCUAGAUCUAUGUUUUCAUAUACACCAUAAGAAUGUAACAGAAUGUAUUAAUGGGUCUUGUACCUAUAAACUAUAUACAACUUUCAGCAACGGAUCUCUUGGCUCUC
rnacentral:misc_RNA from 1 species